CCGCAAGGCUAAAACUCAAAGGAAUUGACGGGGGCCCGCACAAGCGGCGGAGCAUGCGGAUUAAUUCGAUGCAACGCGAAGAACCUUACCAAGGCUUGACAUACACCGGAAUCGGCCAGAGAUGGUCGCGUCUUCGGACUGGUGUACAGGUGGUGCAUGGUUGUCGUCAGCUCGUGUCGUGAGAUGUUGGGUUAAGUCCCGCAACGAGCGCAACCCUCGUCCUAUGUUGCCAGCACGUCAUGGUGGGGACUCAUAGGAGACUGCCGGGGUCAACUCGGAGGAAGGUGGGGAUGACGUCAAAUCAUCAUGCCCCUUAUGUCUUGGGCUUCACGCAUGCUACAAUGGCCGGUACAAAGGGCUGCGAUACCGCGAGGUGGAGCGAAUCCCAAAAAGCCGGUCUCAGUUCGGAUUGGGGUCUGCAACUCGACCCCAUGAAGUCGGAGUCGCUAGUAAUCGCAGAUCAGCAACGCUGCGGUGAAUACGUUCCCGGGCCUUGUACACACCGCCCGUCAAGUCACGAAAGUCGGUAACACCCGAAGCCGGUGGCCUAACCCCUUGUGGGAUGGAGCCGUCGAAGGUGGGAUUGGCGAUUGGGACU
rnacentral:rRNA from 1 species